rnacentral:rRNA from 1 species
UGGCGGACGGGUGAGUAACGCGUGGAUAACCUGCCGUAUACCGGGGGAUAACACUUAGAAAUAGGUGCUAAUACCGCAUGAGCGCACAGCUCCGCAUGGGGCGGUGUGAAAAACUCCGGUGGUAUACGAUGGAUCCGCGUCUGAUUAGCCAGUUGGCGGGGUAACGGCCCACCAAAGCGACGAUCAGUAGCCGGCCUGAGAGGGUGAACGGCCACAUUGGGACUGAGACACGGCCCAGACUCCUACGGAAGGCAGCAG